rnacentral:rRNA from 1 species
CAGGGUAAGUCGGGACCUAAGGCGAGGCCGAUAGGCGUAGUCGAAGGACAACAGGUCGAAAUUCCUGUACCACCGUAAUCCGUUAUGAGCGAUGGGGUGACGCAGUAGGGUAGUGACGCGGACUGAUGGAUGUCCGUCUAAGCAGUGAGGCUGAUGUGUAGGCAAAUCCGCACAUCGUAAGGCUGGGCUGUGAUGGGGAGCGAAA